UUGCAUGAUGGAUGUUGUUUUGAUCCAUUUUUCUUGUGGGGUGUCAAUAUAUCCAUGUCAUGCUAGAGUAAAACUCUCUGGAGGUAUCAGGGCAUCCAGUUAUGAAGUACAGACUGAGGUGUAGUAUAUUUCUCCUACAUGU
rnacentral:snoRNA from 1 species